UCUGGCUCACUCUUUAGCCUUUUAAGGUAAAAACUCAGGGAUGUACCCAAGCCAUCUGUGUUUACUAGAAGAGGCCAUUUUUCCAUCCUUCUGACGUCCAGGAAAGGCUCUGAGAAGCAGCAGAGCGUGCCCCUGCCCGCAGCUCCUGUCUGCAGGCCCAGCCUGGCUCCUGCGCCCCCACCCAAGAGAUGAGAAGUGCGCUUUGUAAGUUGCUCUGGAGAAGACAGACGUAGGUCCCCUCCCGGGUCCUCGGAGUCCUGGAGACACCUGGAUACGAUGAGUGCAGUCGGAGCCACUUCCUUUAUCAUCAGGACAGAUGGAGUCCAGCUCUCCGAUGUCAGCGCCAGGCACUGGGGGUCUCCACGGCAGCGAGGUUGGCCUUCCUCCGUGAGCCCUAGGAGAUUGAUGAGGUGUGGGGACAGCGACUGGACACAGAACAAAUGAGAAAGCAAAUGACCAGACAGAAGUGAGGAGCAGCGCUGGCCAUGCUCUGCGGCUCCUCGGAAGACCCCUCUUUGGAGAUCUUCCAGGCCCGACACAUGAUCCUCCCUAAGCCACAGGCCAUCUGGGUCCUUUUGUGGCAAGCCUGGUUAAAACAAGAAAACACUUUUCAGUGGC